ACUUAAAUUGAAGAGUUUGAUCAUGGCUCAGAUUGAACGCUGGCGGCAGGCCUAACACAUGCAAGUCGAACGGUAGCACAGAGGAGCUUGCUCCUUGGGUGACGAGUGGCGGACGGGUGAGUAAUGUCUGGGAAACUGCCCGAUGGAGGGGGAUAACUACUGGAAACGGUAGCUAAUACCGCAUAACGUCGCAAGACCAAAGAGGGGGACCUUCGGGCCUCUUGCCAUCGGAUGUGCCCAGAUGGGAUUAGCUUGUUGGUGGGGUAACGGCUCACCAAGGCGACGAUCCCUAGCUGGUCUGAGAGGAUGACCAGCCACACUGGAACUGAGACACGGUCCAGACUCCUACGGGAGGCAGCA
rnacentral:rRNA from 1 species